UUAAGCGACUAAGCGUACACGGUGGAUGCCCUGGCAGUCAGAGGCGAUGAAGGACGUGCUAAUCUGCGAAAAGCGUCGGUAAGGUGAUAUGAACCGUUAUAACCGGCGAUGUCCGAAUGGGGAAACCCAGUGCAAUUCGUUGCACUAUCGUUAACUGAAUACAUAGGUUAACGAGGCGAACCGGGGGAACUGAAACAUCUAAGUACCCCGAGGAAAAGAAAUCAACCGAGAUUCCCCCAGUAGCGGCGAGCGAACGGGGAGCAGCCCAGAGUCUGAAUCAGCUUGUGUGUUAGUGGAACGGUCUGGAAAGUCCGACGGUACAGGGUGAUAGUCCCGUACACCAAAAUGCACAGGUUGUGAACUCGAAGAGUAGGGCGGGACACGUGGUAUCCUGUCUGAAUAUGGGGGGACCAUCCUCCAAGGCUAAAUACUCCUGACUGACCGAUAGUGAACCAGUACCGUGAGGGAAAGGCGAAAAGAACCCCGGCGAGGGGAGUGAAAAAGAACCUGAAACCGUGUACGUACAAGCAGUGGGAGCACCUUCGGGUGUGACUGCGUACCUUUUGUAUAAUGGGUCAGCGACUUAUAUUCUGUAGCAAGGUUAACCGUAUAGGGGAGCCGCAGGGAAACCGAGUCUUAACUGGGCGUUAAGUUGCAGGGUAUAGACCCGAAACCCGGUGAUCUAGCCACGGGCAGGUUGAAGGUUGGGUAACACUAACUGGAGGACCGAACCGACUAAUGUUGAAAAAUUAGCGGAUGACUUGUGGCUGGGGGUGAAAGGCCAAUCAAACCGGGAGAUAGCUGGUUCUCCCCGAAAGCUAUUUAGGUAGCGCCUCGUGAACUCAUCUUCGGGGGUAGAGCACUGUUUCGGCUAGGGGGUCAUCCCGACUUACCAACCCGAUGCAAACUACGAAUACCGAAGAAUGUUAUCACGGGAGACACACGGCGGGUGCUAACGUCCGUCGUGAAGAGGGAAACAACCCAGACCGCCAGCUAAGGUCCCAAAGUCAUGGUUAAGUGGGAAACGAUGUGGGAAGGCACAGACAGCCAGGAUGUUGGCUUAGAAGCAGCCAUCAUUUAAAGAAAGCGUAAUAGCUCACUGGUCGAGUCGGCCUGCGCGGAAGAUGUAACGGGGCUAAACCAUGCACCGAAGCUGCGGCAGCGACACUAUGUGUUGUUGGGUAGGGGAGCGUUCUGUAAGCCUGCGAAGGUGUGCUGUGAGGCAUGCUGGAGGUAUCAGAAGUGCGAAUGCUGACAUAAGUAACGAUAAAGCGGGUGAAAAGCCCGCUCGCCGGAAGACCAAGGGUUCCUGUCCAACGUUAAUCGGGGCAGGGUGAGUCGACCCCUAAGGCGAGGCCGAAAGGCGUAGUCGAUGGGAAACAGGUUAAUAUUCCUGUACUUGGUGUUACUGCGAAGGGGGGACGGAGAAGGCUAUGUUAGCCGGGCGACGGUUGUCCCGGUUUAAGCAUGUAGGCUGAUUGUCCAGGCAAAUCCGGAUAAUCAAGGCUGAGGUGUGAUGACGAGGCACUACGGUGCUGAAGUAACAAAUGCCCUGCUUCCAGGAAAAGCCUCUAAGCAUCAGGUAACAUUAAAUCGUACCCCAAACCGACACAGGUGGUCAGGUAGAGAAUACCAAGGCGCUUGAGAGAACUCGGGUGAAGGAACUAGGCAAAAUGGUGCCGUAACUUCGGGAGAAGGCACGCUGGUGUGUAGGUGAAGUCCCUGCGGAUGGAGCUGAGACCAGUCGAAGAUACCAGCUGGCUGCAACUGUUUAUUAAAAACACAGCACUGUGCAAACACGAAAGUGGACGUAUACGGUGUGACGCCUGCCCGGUGCCGGAAGGUUAAUUGAUGGGGUUAUCCGUAAGGAGAAGCUCUUGAUCGAAGCCCCGGUAAACGGCGGCCGUAACUAUAACGGUCCUAAGGUAGCGAAAUUCCUUGUCGGGUAAGUUCCGACCUGCACGAAUGGCGUAAUGAUGGCCAGGCUGUCUCCACCCGAGACUCAGUGAAAUUGAACUCGCUGUGAAGAUGCAGUGUACCCGCGGCAAGACGGAAAGACCCCGUGAACCUUUACUAUAGCUUGACACUGAACAUUGAGCCUUGAUGUGUAGGAUAGGUGGGAGGCUUUGAAGCGUGGACGCCAGUCUGCGUGGAGCCAACCUUGAAAUACCACCCUUUAAUGUUUGAUGUUCUAACGUUGGCCCCUGACCGGGGUUGCGGACAGUGUCUGGUGGGUAGUUUGACUGGGGCGGUCUCCUCCCAAAGCGUAACGGAGGAGCACGAAGGUUAGCUAAUCCUGGUCGGACAUCAGGAGGUUAGUGCAAUGGCAUAAGCUAGCUUGACUGCGAGCGUGACGGCGCGAGCAGGUGCGAAAGCAGGUCAUAGUGAUCCGGUGGUUCUGAAUGGAAGGGCCAUCGCUCAACGGAUAAAAGGUACUCCGGGGAUAACAGGCUGAUACCGCCCAAGAGUUCAUAUCGACGGCGGUGUUUGGCACCUCGAUGUCGGCUCAUCACAUCCUGGGGCUGAAGUAGGUCCCAAGGGUAUGGCUGUUCGCCAUUUAAAGUGGUACGCGAGCUGGGUUUAGAACGUCGUGAGACAGUUCGGUCCCUAUCUGCCGUGGGCGCUGGAGAAUUGAGGGGGGCUGCUCCUAGUACGAGAGGACCGGAGUGGACGCAUCACUGGUGUUCGGGUUGUCAUGCCAAUGGCACUGCCCGGUAGCUAAAUGCGGAAGAGAUAAGUGCUGAAAGCAUCUAAGCACGAAACUUGCCCCGAGAUGAGUUCUCCCUGAGACUUUAAGUCUCCUGAAGGAACGUUGAAGACGACGACGUUGAUAGGCCGGGUGUGUAAGCGCAGCGAUGCGUUGAGCUAACCGGUACUAAUGAACCGUGAGGCUUAACCUU
rnacentral:rRNA from 1 species